GCGUUAAUCGGAAUUACUGGGCGUAAAGCGUGCGCAGGCGGUUUUGUAAGUCUGAUGUGAAAUCCCCGGGCUCAACCUGGGAAUUGCAUUGGAGACUGCAAGGCUAGAAUCUGGCAGAGGGGGGUAGAAUUCCACGUGUAGCAGUGAAAUGCGUAGAGAUGUGGAGGAACACCGAUGGCGAAGGCAGCCCCCUGGGUCAAGAUUGACGCUCAUGCACGAAAGCGUGGGGAGCAAACAGGAUUAGAUACCCUGGUAGUCCACGCCCUAAACGAUGUCUACUAGUUGUCAGGUUUUAAUUAACUUGGUAACGCAGCUAACGCGUGAAGUAGACCGCCUGGGGAGUACGGUCGCAAGAUUAAAACUCAAAGGA
rnacentral:rRNA from 1 species